rnacentral:rRNA from 1 species
AAUGGGCGCAAGCCUGAUCCAGCCAUGCCGCGUGAGUGAUGAAGGCCUUAGGGUUGUAAAGCUCUUUUGUCCGGGAAGAUAAUGACUGUACCGGAAGAAUAAGCCCCGGCUAACUUCGUGCCAGCAGCCGCGGUAAUACGAAGGGGGCUAGCGUUGUUCGGAAUCACUGGGCGUAAAGCGCACGUAGGCGGACUUUUAAGUCAGAGGUGAAAGCCUGGAGCUCAACUCCAGAACUGCCUUUGAUACUGGGAGUCUCGAGUUCGGAAGAGGUUGGUGGAACUGCGAGUGUAGAGGUGAAAUUCGUAGAUAUUCGCAAGAACACCAGUGGCGAAGGCGGCCAACUGGUCCGAUACUGACGCUGAGGUGCGAAAGCGUGGGGAGCAAA